rnacentral:tRNA from 1 species
GGAGAGAUAGCUGAGUGGACUAAAGCGGCAGUUUGCUAAUCUGUUGUACCAGUUAUUACCGAGGGUUCGAAUCCCUCUCUUUCUG